AUACAGACUACCAUUCUUCUACAUUUAGGAAGUCUGAAUAAUACUGAAAACUAUGGUGUAGAAUUUCCAACAGGACUCCUUAUUUUAUAUAAGACAAGGAGUGGUUUAUUUUCCCAUGGUUGUUACAUCAUCUUGUCUUUGAAUAUGCUCGAACUACAGGGACUUUUACGGAAUUCAUUGACAUGAUAGUCAAGCAAGAUGUCAACAUCACGUCCAACCCUCUUCCAGCAAAGCCAAAGCUGACCAAGGAUCUUCACCCUUUCAAAACAGGCUGUAUACAGGACGAGUUAUUCUAGUAGGAACAGGGCUAUAUAUAUGCAAGCAAUGCUCAAUUAAGAUGAAUUUUUGUAAAAGUGACAAUAGCCAGGUCAAACUAAAUACAUGUAUAGAAGAAGAUAUUGAUCUAGACUUGCAGCUAACCUUUCUGUCAGUGUCAACAACAACUGAACUUUCACAGCACUGAGUCAACAUCAGAUUGGGAGACUGAUAAUGCUUCUAACAGAAACAAUUUAAACCAACCAAACAAGCAACAGAAACUUUCCAACUUUAAAACAUCAGUUAAAUCUUCCAUGGGAUGAUGUCUCAAAAAAUAACAGUUCAUCAUUUAUGGAGAUUUUAAUGUUAUGGUUUUUCUUUUACAAGAAAGUUAAUGUACACUUGUUUUAUAGUAAAACCUAUAGCCGUUCAAGUAUAAAAAAACUCAUUCAACUUUAUUGAAAUUUGAAGAUUCAUAUGACUUAUUUUAAUUCUGUUAUCUCCGAGGAUGUGAUGUAGAGCAUUAUAGGUACAGUAAUCUUAACAGCUAUCCAAUUUCAUUCAAAAUUCUUUAUAAAUUUUGCACUGGUAUAUAUAGACUAAGUAAUUUGUUUUUCGUCUAGUUAUGGUAUUUUUUUAUACCCCACGCAACGAGUUGCGGAGGGUAUAAUGUUUUUGACCCGUCCGUCAGUCCGUCAGUCCUGUUUCUUGUCAUCGCAACUCCUCUCAAACCACACAA